UCGCGGAAGAUCUAGGGAAAAAGAUCUCGUGGGUCCACCGGUCAGAUAGAACGGACGUUUUGGGAAGGACUUAGAAGGAUCCGACGGUGAGCUGGGGUUUGCGGGGUCGGAACUGGAGACAAGCGGGGAGGGGUCGGGUCUCAGGGGUCGGGACCGGUCGGGAGGUUGAACACUUAGGCUUGGAAAACUAGACAGGUGAUCAGGGGCUCGGAUUAAGAUUAACUGGGAAGAUUUGGGGCCGGUCGUCACAAGAAUACUAGCCGCUUAGGUCAUGUUACAGGUUGUUUAACUAACUUGUGUGCAACCGCAUCUCAAAAUCUCAGUCAUGAUGCAGUGGCGGUCGCCGACUCGUCGUGUUGGUGUAAUUAAGGUUCACCUGAACAGCACGCCUGGCCAACUCUCUCCACCUUUGCACGCCUGCGGCGUUAGUGGCCGUCGCGGCAGCUGCAGCUACUGAGGCUGCUAGUGAACGGCGACUGACGACCAACGCGAGCACUGAAAGGGAGGCGACGAGAGGUUCAUCGCUGCGCG
rnacentral:lncRNA from 1 species